CGGACGGGUGAGUAACGCGUGGGUAACCUGCCUCAUACAGGGGGAUAACGGUUAGAAAUGACUGCUAAUACCGCAUAAGCGCACAGUACCGCAUGGUACGGUGUGAAGAACUCCGGUGGUAUGAGAUGGACCCGCGUCUGAUUAGCUGGUUGGUGAGGUAACGGCCCACCAAGGCGACGAUCAGUAGCCGACCUGAGAGGGUGACCGGCCACAUUGGGACUGAGACACGGUCCAA
rnacentral:rRNA from 1 species